GCGAGAUCUUCCUCAUCAUGGCGCCGUCCAGCUCUGCAGUUCAGAGAGGACCGGUUGGCUCCGGCUCUGGUCUUCCGUGAGCUUCUCGCGCUGCCGGAAGCUACGAGGAGCAUCGCGGGCGCAACUUGGAAGCUGGGAAAUCCACGUGCACUGGGCUUACCAGAUUAAUGAACUUGAGGAUGCCUGUUAGAGGAUUUAAAAUAAAAAUUUUACAUCAUCUGUGCACACCUGAGCACCGGGAUGAAGCAGGUGGGGCUUCCAGGUGUGGUGUCCUCUGAAGACCUGGCUGUGGACUCCACCCAGGAGGAGUGGCAGCACCUGGACAGUGCCAGAAGACCCUGAAAAGGGAUGCGAUGCUGGAGACCUAAAGCAGCCUGCUGUCCCUCGAAGCCUGAAAACAAAAUCCUACAGCCACACAGGAUUGUGUGGCGCGAAACCCGAGCUGAUCUUCAAAUUGGAGCAAGGAGUGGAGCCGUGGAUCACAGAGGAAGCCCCGAAUCAGAGCCUCCCAGGCCGGGGCACAGCCGAGCAUCCUGAGUGCACAAGCUGACUUGUGGGCUGGAGGAACCAUGGGACUUGCCAGAGCCCAGACUGUGUCCAUCCCAGGAGAGGAGUUGCAGAGCUAUGGCUGCUCCUGCCCAGGAGCUUCUUCCGGAUCUCCCACGUUUUGGAAAAUUUUUUUCUUUAAGAGCUGGAAAGACAAAUAGAUCAUCCAUCUGCUGCUUUGCUCCCCAAAUCUCCACAACAGCUGAGCCAUCACAGACCACACUGGGAGCCGCGAAAUCAAUCGAGGCCCUCACAUGGGUGACAGGGACCCAACCGCCCGAGCCACCACCUUCUUCCCAGGGCAGAGUGGACAGUGAGAAAGAGAGAGAAAGGUCUUCCUUCCGUUGGUUCACUCCCCUAAUGGCCGCUACGGCCGGCGCUGUGCCGAUCCGAAGCCAGGAGUCAGGUGCUUCUCCUGAUCUCCCAUGCGAGUGCAGGGCGCAAGGACUCGGGCCAUCCUCCACUGCCUUCCUGGGCCAUAGCAGAGAGCUGGACUGGAAGAGGAGCAACCGGGACAGAAUCCGGCGCCACGACUGGGACUAGAACCUGGUGUGCUGGCGCCGCAGGCGGAGGAUUAGCCAAGUGAGCCGUGGCACCGGCUAUUGGUUCACUUCUCAAAUGACCACAACAGCCAGGGACAGGACAACCCUAAGCCAGGAGACAGGAGCUCCAUCCAGGUCUCCCACAUGGGUGGUAGGGGUGCAAAUACCUGCAUGAUCAUCUGCUGCCUUCCAGGUACAUUAGCAGGAACCAAGAUCAAAAGCAGGAAGGGUCUAGAACUCAAGCCAGGUCCUGAAUUGUGGAAUGUGUGCAUCUCAGGCAAUAGCUAACCUCACUGUGCCACAAUGCCUACCCCAGCUUUUGCCUUCUUAAAAAUUUCAUCUUCAGCUGUAAGAUAAUUGUAUAUAUUUGUAGGCAAAACAUGACAUUUCAGUGAAUGUGUUCUGGAAUUAUCAAAUCACGCCAAGUAGUAUAUCCAUCCCAUUAUCUACUACUGUGAAAGAUACGUUACCUCAGUCUCUGGCUGUGCAGAGCAGCAGGGGAACCCCUUCCUCCUGCCUGUCAGAAACUGUACCCUCUGCCCCGUGUCUCCUUUCACCCUAGCCCUCCAUUUCUGCUUCACCUUGUGGUAGCCGCCCGUGUGCUCUCUGCUUGAUGAGCUGUGGUUGUCAGAGUCCACAUGUUACAGUGGGUCUGUCUCUAUCUGGCCUGUUCCCUUACACAAUGUUGUCCCUUUCCCUUUAAGGUGGCAGUUUUUCUCCUCCCAUGAUACCAUCAUCUCUCAGCACAGAUUCACGUCCUGUUCUGAACACGUGUUCUCACGUUUUGGGGACUUAGGCUGAGAAUUUCUCAAACUUUUACGUUCUCAUUGCAGUUUGCUGUCAGUUCCUCCGAUUCCUGGCUCUCCUCUUGGUCUUCUGUAAGCAGUCGGGAGAGCAAGCUGCUGCUUCAGAGCUCUGCUUGGACAUUGUCUCAGUCACAUACAGAUCUUUAUUGCUCACAAGCUGGACCUUCCGCAGAGGACAGCACCACGUUGCUUUAUGAGAAAUGCCCUUCCUCCAGGCUUUGCUGACAUGUUUCCCAUCUCCUUCUGAGACACAUACGGAUCACCCCCAUGUCCAUAUUUCAUUAACAUCCUUGCAACCCGGAAACCGGUAUCCAGUUCAGAGGCACUUCCAUAUGUUUAUGUAAUUGUGACAAAAAUACCUUAUGUUUGGUAAUGUAAUGUUUCCUAAUCUGCUUGGACUGCCAGAGCAAAAUACCAUAGGCUGGGGUGUUUUGACAAAAGACAUUUUUUUCUCACAGCUCCAGGAGCUGGGAAGUUUGAAGCUGCUGACUUGGCUUCUCAUGAGAGCCAGGAGCUAGGCGCUUUCCCAUCUUGCCCUCAGAGGGGCUUUGGGAUGUGUGUGCAGUGGAAGGGUAGAGUUCUCUUUUUUCUUAUACACUAGUCCUACCAGGAAGGCCUCACCUCAUAGCCAACUGUAACGUGAAUUCCCUUACAGAGACUUCCUCCAGAUACCAGCACCAUCGGGUAAAGGGCUUCAGUUCAUACAAGAUGGCACAGCCAAAAGUUGGUGAAAAAAUGAAAUAAAAACAUAAACUCAUUUUGGUGCAGAGAGUUCUGUAGCCAUAUGUAGUUUUUCAUAGUAAAUGUUUUUCAUGAAAUUUCUGGAAAACCUUUUAUAUAUGCGGAUGCAAUUAUUAUUACUUUUGUCAACAAAAUAAACAUGUCUUUGAGCUCUGUUGUC